UGGGGAAUUUUGGACAAUGGGCGCAAGCCUGAUCCAGCCAUGCCGCGUGUCUGAAGAAGGCCUUCGGGUUGUAAAGGACUUUUGUCAGGGAAGAAAAGGGCGGGGUUAAUACCCCUGUCUGAUGACGGUACCUGAAGAAUAAGCACCGGCUAACUACGUGCCAGCAGCCGCGGUAAUACGUAGGGUGCGAGCGUUAAUCGGAAUUACUGGGCGUAAAGCGGGCGCAGACGGUUACUUAAGCAGGAUGUGAAAUCCCCGGGCUCAACCUGGGAACUGCGUUCUGAACUGGGUGACUAGAGUGUGUCAGAGGGAGGUAGAAUUCCACGUGUAGCAGUGAAAUGCGUAGAGAUGUGGAGGAAUACCGAUGGCGAAGGCAGCCUCCUGGGAUAACACUGACGUUCAUGCUCGAAAGCGUGGGUAGCAAACA
rnacentral:rRNA from 1 species